rnacentral:rRNA from 1 species
CCUACGGGGGGCAGCAGUGGGGAAUAUUGCACAAUGGGGGAGACCCUGAUGCAGCGACGCCGCGUGAGUGAAGAAGUAUCUCGGUACGUAAAGCUCUAUCAGCAGGGAAGACAAUGACGGUACCUGUCUAAGAAGCCCCGUCUAAAUACGUGCCAGCAGCCGCAGUAAUACGGAGGGGGCAAGCGUUAUCCGGAUUUACUGGGUGUAAAGGGAGCGUAGACGGCAGCACAAGUCUGGAGUGAAAUCCCGGGGCUUAACCCCGGAACUGCUUUGGAAACUGUGCGGCUUGAGUGCAGGAGAGGUACGCGGAAUUCCUAGUGUAGCGGUGAAAUGCGUAGAUAUUAGGAGGAACACCGGUGGCGAAGGCGGCUUACUGGACUGUAACUGACGUUGAGGCACGAAAGCGUGGGGAGCAAACAGGAUUAGAUACCCCAGUAGUC